AAGAUCAGCGCAGACAAAGGCUGCAGACAGCACUCCUUGUUUGUUAUCUUUAUUUUAUAAGUGCACAAAGUUUUGUUGUUAUUAUGUCUGUAUACAAAAAAAAGUAGACCCUUUACAGAUUCGAUUGAUGUAUUGCUCUUAUCUGUACGAUCAAAACUGAAAGUGUAAUUUAAGUUCUUUUCGGGGUUAUCAGGAGAAAAUACCCCAAAACGCGUAUACGCGUUAAUCGACUUCAGAGGGUUAAUGCCCAAUAAUCCGUACAGUUCGCGUAACGUACGUGACAUAAACGCCGUGCCCUGAUCGGUGAGGAUCUCUUUCGGAAUCCCCACCCGGGAGAUAAGACGAAACAGGACGUCCGCAACACUCUUAGCGGAAAUGUUGCAGAGGGCCACUGCUUCAGGAUAUCGUGUUGCAUAGUCAACUAUGACUAAUGCAAAGCGAUGUCCCCGUGCAGAUCGCUCUAAUGGCCCGAUGAGGUCCAUACCAAUUCUCUCGAAGGGGACCUGCAUUAAGGGAAGGGGGCGCAAAGGCACUUUUGGGGCGGCCGGUGGAUUCACCAACUGACAUUCAGGACAAGACACGCACCACCUGCGCACGUUGUCGUGAAUGCCCAGCCAAAAGAAACGGGUCAUGGGGCGAUUCAGUGUUGCUGCCUGUCCCAAAUGGCCCACCAUAGGAUUAGAAUGAGCCGCAUGGAAAAGCAUUUCCCUGCGGCCCUUCGGAAUCAACAACUGGGUUGUAUUCACUUUUGUACGAGCAUCUUGGAUCACUCGAUACAACCGAUCUCUUAAAAUGGCAAAAUACGGAUAGGUGAGCGGGUGGGCAGGUUGGAGAGGCUGGCCAUCGAUGGAGCGGACCUGUUGGAAAGCGUGUUUUAAUGUCUCAUCCUGAGACUGCUCCAGAGGAAAGUCGUCACGCUCCGAGAGAAUAAGUCUCCGGAUUUCGCUUGGUUCCCCUGAAGCAGAACCCCGCGGUCCUGGCUCAGUUUCUCCCACCUGCACACACGCGGCCUCCUUCCGUGCCUUCUUUCCCCAAGAGGCAUCCGCACAUAACCACCCCAAUAAAACAGUAAACGUGGGCCAAUUUGUUCCCAAAAUUAUUGGAUGCCGGAGGUGGGGACUAACCGCCACCCUCCACACUAUGCUUUUGUCCCCGGAAUUGAAUAAUAAUCGGGACCACCGGGUACUCCACCACAUCCCCGUGUACGCACCGCACCUUAACCACGUGGCUUGUAUCCAAUGCCCCCGGUUGAAUCAGGCUUUGAUGGAUUGAGGUUUGGUUACAUCCUGAAUCCACCAAGGCCGGAUAUGUACCCCCCUUGAUACUCACAGGUAUUUGGUACUCUCCUGCCUGACCGGGGGUGGCCUGUGGGACGUCCGGGACCCGGAUCAUCGUCCCCACCCCCAUCACUGGACACCUGUCCACGAAAUGCUCCGGGUCCCCACAACGCCAACAGGCCAGCCCAGACCUCCCCGCCGCCCCAGUGGCAGGGAGUGGAUUGGAGAAUUGGCGUGGAGAGAGCGGGGAAACAGAAGUGCUGUCCCCUCCGGCAGCCAUCAGCCCCACCCACCUGGGCGGGGCCCUUGGAUUCCCAUAAUGUCCUUGGUCAAUCCCCCCGGGGCGGGACACGAGGAGGGCCGGCUGGACGGGACCUAGGGAGAGGGACAGGUCGAGAGAGAGAUGGGGAGGAGAGAGAGGGAGAGAGAGAGAGAGAUGUUAAGGGUUCGCCGACCCCUGGGCACGCCACCAUGUGGUCCUCUGCCAGAUGGACAGCCGAGUCCAGUGUUUUUUUCGGUAGCUGAGCGAUGAAUUGCUCCAGCACCACGAGGUCGAUGAGGAGUCCCGGAGCUGCUGGGCCAUCGCAAAUGGCCGACCAGAUUCCCCCAGGUCCAGGGAACGGAACCGCUGGCGAUGCUGCUCUGGGGUCCGGCCGACCCGCUGAAUGAUGGCCCUUUUCAGGUCGUCGAAGACCAGGAGGUUCACCACCAGUAGCUGUUGUGCGGCCACCUGGGACUCUGCAUGGCGGCGGCACUCCUUCUUCCUUUCCCGGGUUUCGGCACCAGUGUAGUAAGUUUGUGUGAGGAAAGGAAGAGGACAAAGGGGUCGGCUGGACUGCUGAAGUAUUUUAAUUCAAGUCACAAAAAUAAACUUUACACCAACGGUGACUUACUCUGACAUCAACACAGACACAAUCGCAUAACACUUCCAGGUGACUUCUUCCGGUUCUGGGGUACGUCAGCAGUCCGUCUCUCUCUCCACUGCUUCUGUCUCUCCUGGCAUUUUAUACUCUCUCCACG
ensembl:lncRNA